rnacentral:rRNA from 1 species
AGCAUGUGGUUUAAUCGAAGCAACGCGAAGAACCUUACCAGGUCUUGACAUCCCGAUGCUAUUUCUAGAGAUAGAAAGUUACUUCGGUACAUCGGUGACAGGUGGUGCAUGGUUGUCGUCAGCUCGUGUCGUGAGAUGUUGGGUUAAGUCCCGCAACGAGCGCAACCCCUAUUGUUAGUUGCCAUCAUUCAGUUGGGCACUCUAGCGAGACUGCCGGUAAUAAACCGGAGGAAGGUGGGGAUGACGUCAAAUCAUCAUGCCCCUUAUGACCUGGGCUACACACGUGCUACAAUGGUUGGUACAACGAGUUGCGAGUCGGUGACGGCGAGCUAAUCUCUUAAAGCCAAUCUCAGUUCGGAUUGUAGGCUGCAACUCGCCUACAUGAAGUCGGAAUCGCUAGUAAUCGCGGAUCAGCACGCCGCGGUCGAAUACGUUCCCGGGCCUU